rnacentral:rRNA from 1 species
GACGAACCGUGCGAACGUUGUUCGGAAUCACUGGGCUUAAAGGGCGCGUAGGCGGGCUGCCGCGUCCGGGGUGAAAUCCUCCCGCUCAACGGGAGAACGGCCUCGGAUACGGGCGGCCUCGAGGGGGGUAGGGGCAUCUGGAACUGUGGGUGGAGCGGUGAAAUGCGUUGAUAUCCACAGGAACUCCGGUGGCGAAGGCGAGGUGCUGGACCCCAUCUGACGCUGAGGCGCGAAAGCCAGGGGAGCGAACGGGG